CACUGAAUGGAGGACCGAACCGACUUACGUUGAAAAGUGAGCGGAUGAACUGAGGGUAGCGGAGAAAUUCCAAUCGAACCUGGAGAUAGCUGGUUCUCUCCGAAAUAGCUUUAGGGCUAGCCUCAAGUGAUGAUUAUUGGAGGUAGAGCACUGUUUGGACGAGGGGCCCCUCUCGGGUUACCGAAUUCAGACAAACUCCGAAUGCCAAUUAAUUUAACUUGGGAGUCAGAACAUGGGUGAUAAGGUCCGUGUUCGAAAGGGAAACAGCCCAGACCACCAGCUAAGGUCCCAAAAUAUAUGUUAAGUGGAAAAGGAUGUGGCGUUGCCCAGACAACUAGGAUGUUGGCUUAGAAGCAGCCAUCAUUUAAAGAGUGCGUAAUAGCUCACUAGUCGAGUGACACUGCGCCGAAAAUGUACCGGGGCUAAACAUAUUACCGAAGCUGUGGAUUGUCCUUUGGACAAUGGUAGGAGAGCGUUCUAAGGGCGUUGAAGCAUGAUCGUAAGGACAUGUGGAGCGCUUAGAAGUGAGAAUGCCGGUGUGAGUAGCGAAAGACGGGUGAGAAUCCCGUCCACCGAUU
rnacentral:rRNA from 1 species